AGGCUCUGCUCGGGGCCACGCUCAGGACGGAAGGGGCGCAAAGAGCCGGCUUCCAGUGACCCCGGCGAGUGCUCGCGCUGCUGCCCUGUCCUCUCCUGGCCUCCCUCCGCCUCUCAGCUCACCUCUGGGAGGCCAGUGCCUGAGGUAAAGGAGGGGAAGCAGUGACGAGAGAGACCAACAGACGGGCUCUGGACAAGAGUCUUCCCUCCUGUGCGGCGACAACCCACAGCCACGGGAUCCCGGAACCUGCUGCCACUGGCUGACGGGGAAGAGAAGGAUGCCCGUGAACUCGAAAUCCACCGGCGCUGGGGCUUACCUGCAACAACCCUGCCGACGAGGGGGAACUGACCUUCUUCCCGAGCAGCAACGGGAGAUGGAGGAAUCCAAAACCUCAUCAGCCAAAAUGCAACACUCACACCGCCUCACCUCGAUCAGGACAAGAAUGCUUGCCAAGAAGACGAAGGUCAAGUUGAAACCCAAGAGCUCAAGGAGGGAAAGGGCGAGG